rnacentral:rRNA from 1 species
AGAGUUUGAUCAUGACUCAGAGCGAACGCUGGCGGCGUGCUUAACACAUGCAAGUUGAACGCGCAGCAUUCUGUAGCAAUACAGGGUGUGGGCGCGUGGCGAACGGGUGCGUAACACGUGGAUAACCUUCCUUCGGGUGGGGAAUAACCCAGUGAAAAUUGGACUAAUACCGCAUAACAUGACGAUGCCACAUGGUGUUGUCUUCAAAGCCGCAAGGCGCCAGAAGAGGGAUCGGCGGCCGAUUAGCUUGUUGGCGAGGUAAUGACUCACCAAGGCGUUGAUCGGUAGCCGGACUGAGAGGUUGGCCGGCCACACUGGAACUGAGACACGGUCCAGACUCCUACGGGAGGCAGCAGUGGGGAAUCUUGCACAAUGGACGAAAGUCUGAUGCAGCAACGCCGCGUGGGGGAUGAAGCUUUUCGGAGUGUAAACCCCUUUCGACCCGGAAGAACGCCCGCAAGGACUUGACGGUACGGGUAUAAGAAGCCCCGACUAACUACGUGCCAGCAGCCGCGGUAAUACGUAGGGGGCCAGCGUUGCUCGGAAUUACUGGGCGUAAAGGGUCCGUAGGCGGUGUGGCAAGUCGGGAGUGAAAUCUCUGGACUUAACCCAGAGACUGCUUCCGAAACUGCCAUGCUAGAGUGUGAGAGAGGCGAGUGGAAUUACGGGUGUAGCGGUGAAAUGCGUAGAUAACGGUAGGAACAUCGGAGGCGAAAGCGACUCGCUGGAUCACAACUGACGCUGAGGGACGAAAGCUAGGGGAGCAAACAGGAUUAGAUACCCUGGUAGUCCUAGCCCUAAACCAUCAGACUUGGGGUGUGCCCUGUACGGGCACGUCCGUAGCUAACGCGUUAAGUCCUGCGCCUGGGGGAGUACGGUCGCAAGACUGAAACUCAAAGGAAUUGACGGGGGCCCGCACAAGCGUUGGAACAUUGUGGUUCAUUUCGACGCAACGCGAAGAAC